rnacentral:tRNA from 1 species
UAACGAAUAGUUUAAGUAAAACAGUAGGUUGUGGCUCUACAGAUGGGGCAGUCUUUCGUUAG